GACGAACGCUGGCGGCGUGCUUAACACAUGCAAGUCGAACGAAGAGCGAUGGAAGCUUGCUUCUAUCAAUCUUAGUGGCGAACGGGUGAGUAACGCGUAAUCAACCUGCCCUUCAGAGGGGGACAACAGUUGGAAACGACUGCUAAUACCGCAUACGAUCUAAUCUCGGCAUCGAGGAUAGAUGAAAGGUGGCCUCUACAUGUAAGCUAUCACUGAAGGAGGGGAUUGCGUCUGAUUAGCUAGUUGGAGGGGGAACGGCCCACCAAGGCGAUGAUCAGUAGCCGGUCUGAGAGGAUGAACGGCCACAUUGGGACUGAGACACGGCCCAGACUCCUACGGGAGGCAGCAGUGGGGAAUCUUCCGCAAUGGACGAAAGUCUGACGGAGCAACGCCGCGUGAGUGAUGACGGCCUUCGGGUUGUAAAGCUCUGUUAAUCGGGACGAAAGGCCUUCUUGCGAAUAGUGAGAAGGAUUGACGGUACCGGAAUAGAAAGCCACGGCUAACUACGUG
rnacentral:rRNA from 1 species